rnacentral:rRNA from 1 species
GUGAGGAAUAUUGGUCAAUGGGCGCGAGCCUGAACCAGCCAAGUAGCGUGAGGGAUGACUGCCCUAUGGGUUGUAAACCUCUUUUGCAGGGGGGUAAAGUGGUUCACGUGUGGCCAUUGCAAGUACCCUGCGAAUAAGGAUCGGCUAACUCCGUGCCAGCAGCCGCGGUAAUACGGAGGAUCCGAGCGUUAUCCGGAUUUAUUGGGUUUAAAGGGAGCGUAGGCGGGGGUUUAAGUCAGCUGUGAAAUGCCGUGGCCCAACCAUGGAACUGCAGUUGAAACUGGACCUCUUGAGAGUACAUAAGGAAGGCGGAAUUCGUGGUGUAGCGGUGAAAUGCAUAGAUAUCAUGAAGAACUCCGAUUGCGAAGGCAGCUUUCCGGGGUACAUCUGACGCUGAAGCUCGAAAGUGCGGGAAUCAAACAGGAUUAGAAACCCGGGUAGUCC